rfam:Triticum aestivum genome assembly, contig: Triticum_aestivum_CS42_TGACv1_scaffold_146127_2BS
CAUUUACUCCCUCCGUCCGGAAAUACUUGUCAUCAAAAUAGAUAAAAGGGGAUGUAUCUAGACAUAUUUUAGUUUUAGAUACAUCUCCUUUUAUCCAUUUCGAUGACAAGUAUUUUUGGACGGAGGGAGUAUUAU